CCCUCUGACUGAAGUUGUCUGGGAGGCAGCAAUGUUAUAUAAAGUCCAGCAUUCUAUCCACAGUAACAUCUAGUUGCAGGGAAAAAAAAUCCAACUCAGUCUUCCUGAUUCAUAGUCCAGCAAUCGUUACUCAGUAUUAUAAACCAAAGCAGGACCAGUCAGAAGGUAAAAAAAACAUAUGUGUUGUGGUUUCUUUCUUCUCAUUUAAAGCCAGAGAUUUUGAAGCAAAACCGAAGGAUUUUAAUCAAAUUCAAUUUCUUGAUUAAAUCCUAAAGAAUGAAAAGGUAAGAAUACCCACAUUUAUUGAGUCCAUAGUGACAAUAACUUGCCCCCCUUUGUGCUUGUGUAAUAAUUCAAAAUUAACCACAUUUUCAGUGAUGUGGAGUGUUCAAUGUGUACCAGAAUAACAGGGUUGUUCUUCUGCCGUUGCUGUGGGAAACAGAGAUCUAAAUUUCCUGAUUUUUGUGUUGUGAAGUAUAAGCCAUCAUGUUUCAUUAACAUCAUGUUUUACAUUUAAUAAUAGAUUGCUCCAUUGUUGCUUUCAAGAGAGAAAGGUUUUGGGUCUCCCUCCCACCCUAAUGUACUUAAAGUGAUGGAAUUUAUUUUAAAUUGAAUUAACAAGGGGAAAAAAUAACACUAGCUCUUUAUCAGAUAUAAGUGACAAGUAAUAAGACUGCAUUUGCCACCAAUUAAACAAUUUAACAGAAAUAGUAGUUAGAGGAUUUUAAAUUUUUUAAUGUGAAAUAUAUAUUAAGGGGGUUGACAGACUUAACACCUAUAAAUUAUCUCAUCUAGUUGAUAUUUUAGCAUUAUGUUUUAAACACUUCUUCCCCAAACUUCUCUCCCAUAAGUACUAAAGACAAAACCAAAUAUGAAGCUGAUCUUAGACAUAUAUGGUCCAAUCAGGCUGCAGGCUAAAUAGUAUUGAAAAACAAAAUCUGAUUCACUACCACCAUCCUGUUGUUUUACAAGUUGUCAUUUUUUGUUGUUAAUCAUUUUUCAAUUAUGUCCUACUCUCAUGGCCCCUUUGAGAUUUUUUUGACAAAGACCCUGUAGUGGUCUGUCAUUUCCUUCUCCAGCUCAUUUGACAAAUGAAGAAAUGGAGAAAAAGAUGGCUUAGUGACUUGCCCACGCUCAUACACCUGGAUGCAAACUCAGCAAAAAGAUUUUUCCUGAUUCAAGGGCUGGCACUUCAUCCACUGCCUACAUAGCUGUUCCUGAGUCAGAGAGACCUGAGUUCAAAUUCUUCCUCAGACACUCAACUUGCUGGGUAACUUUGGGCAAAUCACAACCUCUGCCCACCUCACUACUUUCACUUGUAAAAUGAGAAUAAGAGCACCUCUCUCCUAUGGUUGCUAUAAGGUUGUAAAAAUUUGUAAAGCAUCUGGCACACAGAAGGCAUUUAAUUUUUGCUCCCUUUCUCUUUCUUUUUGUCAUCCUUAUUCAUAAGGAGUCUCUUUCUUUCUUCUAGAUUCCACAUCUCAGAUUAAAAUCUAAGUCAGUUUCUUCUCAUUCUGUUCUCCAUGAAGAUGACUAAUUGUUCAUCUCUAUGCCCUACAGAUAAGAUCUUAUAAACUGAUUUAUCAGUCUUCCCUUAACUUUCUCUUCUGCAAAUAAAUGAAUGAAUCAAUGAAUGAAUAAAUAAAUAAAUAAAAUAAAAAUGAAAUAAAAUUUCAUCUCAAAUACUAUUUUCCAAACUUUUAAUCCUUUCCCACAAGGACAUAUCCAAUAUACAUUAAUUAUAAGACUCAACCAACAAAGUAAAUUAAGUAGUUUGUAACUAGCUGUAGGCAAGAAUAUUCUUUUUUCCCAAUGAGCACACAAAACCAUUAUUUCCAGAAAAGAAAAAAAAAAUGAAUCUUUACUACCUCCAAAAAAUAUUUCAAAGUCUCUUAAUUCAAUCUGAAAAUCCUGUAAAACAAUCUCCUCUGUUACUAUUCAGUUGUUUUCAGUUGUAACAUGAUCCAAUUUUUUUUUUGGCAAAAUUACUGAUGGCAUUUGCCGUUUCCUUCUCCAAUUUAUUUUAUAGCUGAGGAAACUGAGGCAGACAGGUUUAUAGCUCACCCAGAGCCACACAGUUAGUAAGUGUGUGAGUCUAGAUUUGAACUCAAGAAGGUGAGUUUUUAUGACUCCAGGCCUAGCACUUCAUCUACUGUUCCACCUAGUUGUCAACCAACCUCCUCAAUCUUCCAUAAAUUUUACAGCUUAUCAUUUAAAUUAACUUCUUAGCAUCAAAACCAUCAGAUAAUUUAAGGCACUAUCUUAUUCAUCAGUAGUACCCAGAAGCUCCCAGACAGGCCUCAGCACUGCCAGCUUUGAAAGGAGGAAGUAGAUUCUCACACGUAUACUGCAAAGCAAUUAAAACAGCAAAAGGGACUUCCUCCCUCCCCCCUCCCUUUCCUUUUCCUUCUUCCUCCAAAGUUGAAUAAAAAUGAUUUGAUAAAUUAUUCUUUUCAGAGCUAACUACUCAGGGGGAAAAAAAAGGAAGACAGAAAAAGGAAAGUCGCUCUUGAGAACUCAUUAUUAGCAUGAAUUCCCUGCUCUACAGCAAUCAGUACAUAUCCCUGUGAAGGGAAAGGCAAUGGGAAUCAAAAGAAAGAAGAGAAUUUUAUCUUAGGGUGUGCAGGAAAGAAGGAGAUGUUCCCUGCUGUCAGGGAAUAUAGCUAGAAGCUCUGUGUAAUCCUUGUGGUUUCAAAGACCAGACCUGCAAUAAUACCAAGGGUUAAUAUGAAAUUUUGAUUGGAAAGAUAGAGCUUUUUUGAUUGCCUCACGUGUGUGGGGGGAAAGUAUGUUUUUCUUUGAAUGAAGGGUCCCUGAAAUUCAUUCUGGACCUAAAACUCCUUGAUUUUAUCAAGAAAUCUUCUUAGAGUAUGGGGUAAAAGGGAGGGACAGGAAGAGAAAGAAAUAGAGGAAUAGGGUGAGAAAAACAGGAUUUUAAACAUAUAAAUCAAAUAAUUGCCAUAAACAUUGACCUCUUUCUUGACAAAACUAGAUGUAGAAAUGAUAGAUUCUCAAAAACUAGUAUAGUCUUUACCUCUGAAAAUAGAGGCAGUAUGUUUCUUCAAAUCAUCAGAUAAAAACAGUACAAAAACCUAGAUCUAAUCAUUUAGAACCAUAACAGCCAAAUGAGUUGGGAAGGUGUAAGGAACAAAAGAUUAAAGGUCCUUCUUUUCUCUAACAGUGAAAACGGGAAAUAUUAAGGAUCAAUCCUUAUGUCAAUGAAUAGGAAAACUGAUGGAUUCAUAGUCCUAUCCACUUUGAAUCUAGACAUUAUGAGCUAUUAAAUUUUAAUAAUAAAUAAAAAUAAAUGAUAACUAUGUCACCAGCAACUCUCUUUUUCUCCAAAAGUGCUGUAUCCCCACUUUGUCUUCUCUUUCCCAGUAGCCUUGCCCCAAUUUGCUCCUGAAGUGAAUGAAGAAUUAGAUUUAUGUUGCUUCCUCAGGCACAAUGG
rnacentral:lncRNA from 1 species